UCCCUGGUGGUCUAGUGGUUAAGACACUGUGCUCCUAGUGCAGGGUUGAGGCUUCGAUACCUUGUUGGGGAA
rnacentral:tRNA from 1 species